rnacentral:rRNA from 1 species
CGGUGAUAUUUAUAUCAUAGUGGCGCACGGGUGCGUAACACGUAUGCAACCUACCUAUUAUUGGGGGAUAGCCUUUGGAAACGGAGAUUAAUACCGCAUAAUACGAUUAACUGGCAUCGGUUGAUUGUUAAAGCAUUUGCGAUAAUAGAUGGGCAUGCGUCCAAUUAGUUAGUUGGUGUGGUAAUGGCUCACCAAGACGAUGAUUGGUAGGGGAUCUGAGAGGAUAAUCCCCCACACUGGCACUGAGAUACGGGCCAGACUCCUACGGGAGGCAGCAGUAGGGAAUAUUGGGCAAUGAGCGAAAGCCUGACCCAGCCAUGCCGCGUGCAGGAAGACGGCGUUAUGCGUUGUAAACUGCUUUUUUAUAGGAAGAAGGAUCCCUUGCGAGGGAAGGUGACGGUACUAUAAGAAUAAGCACCGGCUAACUCCGUGCCAGCAGCCGCGGUAAUACGGAGGGUGCAAGCGUUGUCCGGAUUUAUUGGGUUUAAAGGGUGCGUAGGCGGUUUAUUAAGUCAGUGGUGAAAGACGGUCGCUCAACGAUUGCAGUGCCAUUGAUACUGGUAGACUUGAGUGAGAUUGAGGUAGCUGGAAUGGAUAGUGUAGCGGUGAAAUGCAUAGAUAUUAUCCAGAACACCGAUUGCGAAAGCAGGUUACUAAGUCUUAACUGACGCUGAG